GUCGAGAAUCUUUGGCAAUGGGCGAAAGCCUGACCAAGCGACGCCGCGUGGAGGAUGAAGGCCUUCGGGUCGUAAACUCCUGUUGGGGGGCAUGAUGCGGGCAAGUGCUAACACCAUUUGCCCGUGACUUCAACCCCUGAGGAAGCCACGGCUAACUCUGUGCCAGCAGCCGCGGUAAGACAGAGGUGGCUAGCGUUGUUCGGAAUCACUGGGUUUAAAGAGCACGUAGGCGGUCGGGCAUGUCCGGUGUGAAAGCCCCCGGCCCAACCGGGGAAUUGCGCCGGAAACUAUCCGACUCGAGGGCAGGAGAGGAGAGUGGAACUCCAGGUGUAGCGGUGAAAUGCGUAGAUAUCUGGAGGAACGCCGGAGGCGAAAGCGACUCUCUGGACUGUCCCUGACGCUGUGGUGCGAAAGCCAGGGGAGCGAACGGGAUUAGAAACCCUUGUAGUCC
rnacentral:rRNA from 1 species